UAGAACAUUUAUGACAGAACUGGGACACUUUAGAAAACGUAUAUAUUCAAAUCAGAAAACACUGGAUCACAGUGUUGAUUACAUAAUGGAAAAGAUGAUUUUAUUGACUUUGUUCUUCAUAGUUACUUUUCAUGGAGUUUGGAGUGAGAUCAAACUGGACCAGUCUCCCUCUGAGGUGAAAAGACCUGGAGAGACCGUGAAGAUGUCAUGUAUCAUAUCUGGUUUUGACAUGACAGACUACUUUAUUCACUGGAUACGACAGAGACCAGGGGAAGCUCUGGAGUGGAUUGGUAGGAUGAAUGCAGGUUCAAACUCUGCUAGCUAUGGCAGCUCCUUUCAAAGCCGUUUCAUCAUGACUGAAGAUGUUCCCAGCAGCACUCAGUACCUGGAGGUCCAGAGCCUGACAGCAGCAGAUUCUGCCGUUUACUUCUGUGCUCGACAGACACAGUGACUGAAGACAGUGGAGCAGCUGGACAAAAACCUCUACAGACAACAAACAG